rnacentral:rRNA from 1 species
CCCUAGUACUAAUAAUGUAAAGUAAUUAGUAUAAGUGGAAUUUAAUAAUUUUGGCGGUUAAUUGUUGAUUAGAGGAGCUUGUUUAUAUGGAAAUAGCUCUUUAUAUUUUUUUAAUAAAAGAUUUAUUCAUCUCCGUUGUUAGAUAUGUGAUUGAAAGAAUUAUUUUUAGUAUUUCAGGUCAAGAUGUAGUUUUUAUUAUAAUACGGAAUUAGCUACAUUUAUGUAAUAAUGGAAUAUUGGGAAGAAGUUUUUUAGGAAAUUGAAUUUAGUUGUAAUAUUAAUUAGAAAGUUAAUAUGAAGGUUAAUUGAUUAGUGUA